rnacentral:rRNA from 1 species
GAUGAACGCUGGCGGCGUGCCUAAUACAUGCAAGUCGAGCGAACAGACGAGGAGCUUGCUCCUCUGACGUUAGCGGCGGACGGGUGAGUAACACGUGGAUAACCUACCUAUAAGACUGGGAUAACUUCGGGAAACCGGAGCUAAUACCGGAUAAUAUAUUGAACCGCAUGGUUCAAUAGUGAAAGACGGUUUUGCUGUCACUUAUAGAUGGAUCCGCGCCGCAUUAGCUAGUUGGUAAGGUAACGGCUUACCAAGGCAACGAUGCGUAGCCGACCUGAGAGGGUGAUCGGCCACACUGGAACUGAGACACGGUCCAGACUCCUACGGGAGGCAGCAGUAGGGAAUCUUCCGCAAUGGGCGAAAGCUUGACGGAGCAACGCCGAGUGAGUGAUGAAGGUCUUCGGAUCGUAAAACUCUGUUAUUAGGGAAGAACAAAUAUGUAAGUAACUAUGCACGUCUUGACGGUACCUAAUCAGAAAGCCACGGCUAACUACGUG